rnacentral:rRNA from 1 species
CAGUCGAGGGGCAGCGGGGAGCAAGCUUGCUUGCUCUGCCGGCGACCGGCGCACGGGUGAGUAACACGUAUGCAACCUGCCCUCCGCAGGGGGAUAACCCGGAGAAAUCCGGACUAAUACCGCGUGGUACACUUGUGGGGCAUCCCACGGGUGUUAAAAGGAAGUGAUUCCGGCGGAGGAUGGGCAUGCGGCGCAUUAGCUGGUUGGCGGGGUAACGGCCCACCAAGGCGACGAUGCGUAGGGGUUCUGAGAGGAAGGUCCCCCACACUGGUACUGAGACACGGACCAGACUCCUACGGGAGGCAGCAGUGAGGAAUAUUGGUCAAUGGGCGGGAGCCUGAACCAGCCAAGUCGCGUGAGGGAAGACGGUCCUAUGGAUUGUAAACCUCUUUAGGCGGGGAGCAAUGCCGGGCACGCGUGCCCGGAGGGAGAGUACCCGCAGAAUAAGCAUCGGCUAACUCCGUGCCAGCAGCCGCGGUAAUACGGAGGAUGCGAGCGUUAUCCGGAUUUAUUGGGUUUAAAGGGUGCGUAGGCGGAUUUUUAAGUCAGCGGUAAAAUGUCCGGGCUCAACCCGGGCCGGCCGUUGAAACUGGGGAUCUUGAGUGGGCGAGAAGUAUGCGGAAUGCGUGGUGUAGCGGUGAAAUAUAGAUAUCACGCAGAACUCCGAUUGCGAAGGCAGCAUACCGGCGCCCGACUGACGCUGAGGCACGAAAGCGUGGGGAUC